CCGACCUUAGCUCAGUUGGCAGAGCGGAGGACUGUAGUCGUCCAGAUAAAUCCUUAGGUCGCUGGUUCGAAUCCGGCAGGUCGGA
rnacentral:tRNA from 1 species